rnacentral:sRNA from 18 species
CUGUCGGUCCGGCGUCAGUGGGUUAUCGUGAUUCUUUCCCUCCGGGGAAAUUUCCCAUCGACACCACCUUGACCGUUGUU